rnacentral:rRNA from 1 species
UACGUAGGGUGCGAGCGUUAAUCGGAAUUACUGGGCGUAAAGCGUGCGCAGGCGGUUAUGCAAGACAGAUGUGAAAUCCCCGGGCUCAACCUGGGAACUGCAUUUAUGACUGCAUGGCUGGAGUGCGGCAGAGGGGGAUGGAAUUCCGCGUGUAGCAGUGAAAUGCGUAGAUAUGCGGAGGAACACCGAUGGCGAAGGCAAUCCCCUGGGCCUGCACUGACGCUCAUGCACGAAAGCGUGGGGAGCAAACAGG